UACGUAGGGUGCGAGCGUUAAUCGGAAUUACUGGGCGUAAAGCGUGCGCAGGCGGCUUUGCAAGACAGAUGUGAAAUCUCCGGGCUCAACCUGGGAACUGCAUUUGUGACUGCAAGGCUAGAGUACGGCAGAGGGGGAUGGAAUUCCGCGUGUAGCAGUGAAAUGCGUAGAUAUGCGGAGGAACACCAAUGGCGAAGGCAAUCCCCUGGGCCUGUACUGACGCUCAUGCACGAAAGCGUGGGGAGCAAACAGG
rnacentral:rRNA from 1 species